rnacentral:rRNA from 1 species
UUCUGAGCCAUAUCUCCCUGCAGCUCUGGAAUGGUUUCCCACUGAUGCUAAGCAGAGUUGAGCCUGGCCAGUACCUAGAUCGGAGACCUCCUGGGGAAAACUAAGGUUGCUGCUGGAA